UGUUACUGCUUGUUUGGUUACACCAACAUAAACUUAUUCAGACCUCAUUAUUUUGGUUACUAAUGUUGAUAGCGUUCUAUCUUUGAACAUGAGAUUGAAAAUUUAUUGAAGUAGGUAGACAUUGGUUUUUAGAAUACUGUGGUUCAUAAUACUGAUACGUAAAAUUUACGAUAUGCGCACGAGGACAAAAAGUUUUGAACAAAAAUUCAAUUAUUAUACUUUAAGAUAUGAAUAGUUGUGUACUGUAUUUUAAAAAUUAAUUAAUACUACAAUGUGUGACGAU
rnacentral:lncRNA from 1 species